rnacentral:lncRNA from 1 species
GGAUGUUCUGCGCCUCAGAUAGUCAUUCUGACGAGUGAUAACCAGGGCAGUUCGUUUACAUUGUGAUGGGUAUGUCAUGCAGCAAGAGAUGUGAGUGUUAGGCUUGAAGAUCAAAGACAAAACUGAGCCCUCUUUUCCCAUGUUACAGCCUACAAAUACAAGAAAAAUUCAUUAUCUAUUAUUCAGUGUUCUUUUUUCUUUUUCUAUUCCUCUAUUGUGUUGACCCCCCUCUUCUUCUCUUCAUCAAUGCCAAGAGCCAGUAACCACUACCGUGGGACUGGGAGCACUCAACCACAGGUACCCACCCUCUUCACCCCCAUUCGUCGCAUCAAAUCUAUCAUCUUGUUAGCCAUCCUCCACCUCUUUUUCUCUCUCACACACACAACUGAACGGUGGAAGCUUCAUGUGUUGUCCAGAUCCUAUUGACAACUUGCAGCUUGCCUUCAUGUUUUAAAUUUUGAUCCACCAAGAACAAGCAAGUGGUUAUAGGAACUUUUAUUUGUUUCUGACCUGAAAGUU